AUUGAACGCUGGCGGCAUGCCUUACACAUGCAAGUCGAGCGGCAGCGCGGGGCAACCCUGCGGCGAGCGGCGAACGGGUGAGUAAUACAUCGGAACGUGUCCAGUAGCGGGGGAUAACCUGUCGAAAGAUAGGCUAAUACCGCGUACGACCUACGGGUGAAAGCGGGGACCGCAAGGCCUCGCACUAUUGGAGCGGCCGAUGUCGGAUUAGCUAGUUGGCGGGGUAACGGCCCACCAAGGCGACGAUCCGUAGCUGGUCUGAGAGGACGACCAGCCACACUGGAACUGAGACACGGUCCAGACUCCUACGGGAGGGCAGCAGUGGGGGUAAUUUU
rnacentral:rRNA from 1 species